rnacentral:lncRNA from 1 species
CAGUUUCCCAGUUUGGGAAUAGCACAGCUUCUUCGUCGUUCCAGUCAAACCAGGAUGAAUCACUUUGUGAGAAGCUUGAUUUGGAUACAUAAAGUGGUGGAGAAUCACCAGGAAGUUGAAUAAAUCUCAUAGGAGUUGGCAUGAAGAAGUUAUCCCACUUUCAAAUCAGGUGAUUCCAGUUUCCCAGUUUGGGAAUAGCAAAGCUUCUUCGUCGUUCUAAUCAAACCAGGAUGAAUCACUUUGUAAGAAGCUUGAUUUGGAUACAUAAAGUGGUGGAGAAUAACCAGGAAGUUGAAUAAAUCUCAUAGGAGUUGGCAUGAAGAAGUUAUCCCACUUUCAAAUCAGGUGAUUCCAGUUUCCCAGUUUGGGAAUAGCAAAGCUUCUUCGUCGUUCUAAUCAAACCAGGAUGAAUCACUUUGUAAGAAGCUUGAUUUGGAUACAUAAAGUGGGGGAGAAUCACCAGAAAGUUGAAUAAAUCUCAUAGGAGUUGGCAUGAAGAAGUUAUCCCACUUUCAAAUCAGGUGAUUCCAGUUUGCCAGUUUGGGAAUAGCACAACUUCUUCGUCGUUCUAAUCAAACCAGGAUGAAUAACUUUGUAAGAAGCUUGAUUUGGAUACAUAAAGUGGUGGAGAAUCACCAGGAAGUUGAAUAAAUCUCAUAGGAGUUGGCAUGAAGAAGUUAUUCCACUUUCAAAUCAGGUGAUUCCAGUUUCCCAGUUUGGGAAUAGCACAGCUUCUUCGUCGUUCCAGUCAAACCAGGAUGAAUCAUUUUGUAGGAAACUUGAUUUGGAUACAUAAAGUGGUGGAGAAUCACCAGGAAGUUGAAUAAAUCUCAUAGGAGUUGGCAUGAAGAAGUUAUCCCACUUUCAAAUCAGGUGAUUCCAGUUUCCCAGUGUGGGAAUAGCACAGCUUCUUCGUUGUUCUAAUCAAACCAGGAUGAAUAACUUUUUGAGAAACUUGAUUUGGAUACAUAAAGUGGUGGAGAAUCACCAGGAAGUUGAAUAAAUCUCAUAGGAUGUGGCAUGAAGAAUUUAUCCCACUUUCAAAUCAGGUGAUUCCAGUUUCCCAGUUUGGGAAUAGCACAGCUUCGUCGUCGUUCCAAACAAACCAGGAUGAAUCUCUUUGUAAGAAGCUUGAUUUGGAUACAUAAAGUGGUGGAGAAUCACCAGGAAGUUGAAUAAAUCUCAUAGGAGUUGGCAUGAAGAAGUUAUCCCACUUUCAAAUCAGGUGAUUCCAGUUUCCCAGUUUGGGAAUAGCACAGCUUCUUCGUCGUUCCAAUCAAACGAGGAUGAAUCAUUUUGUAGGAAACUUGAUUUGGAUACAUAAAGUGGUGGAGAAUCAACAGGAAGGUUAAUAAAUCUCAUAGGAGUUAGCAUGAAGAAGUUAUCCCACUUUCAAAUCAGGUGAUUCCAGUUUCCCAGUUUGGGAAUAGCAAAGCUUCUUCGUCGUUCCAAUCAAACGAGGAUGAAUCAUUUUGUAGGAAACUUGAUUUGGAUACAUAAAGUGGUGGAGAAUCAACAGGAAGGUUAAUAAAUCUCAUAGGAGUUAGCAUGAAGAAGUUAUCCCACUUUCAAAUCAGGUGAUUCCAGUUUCCCAGUUUGGGAAUAGCAAAGCUUCUUCGUCGUUCUAAUCAAACCAGGAUGAAUCACUUUCUAAGAAGCUUGAUUUGGAUAGGAAAAUUCCGAGGGAUUUCCGAGGAAAGAAGAAAUUCCGAGGAAUUAUUUCCGACGACGUGUUUCGUCGGUAUGUCGUCGGAAAAACGAUAUUCCGACGAAAUUCUGACAAUUUUUUCCCUCAGAAUCCUUGAUGUUUUCUUGUAGUGCUUUAAGAACAUGGGGGGAGGCAGCUUUGUUUUCUCAACUUUCAAUCAACGAAUUAUUCAGUCAACUUUGUUGUCUUGUCUCUAGCUUUCUCUGUUCAGCUCAAGAACAUUGAUCUCACUUAAAGGAAGGAAUUCCUGUGAAUCCCAUCUUAGACAAUACAAGGUGAUCUUGUGUCUUUGAGUAGCAAACCAUCUCUGUCGCCAUUCCAUAGCUUCAGAGAGACGUCCAUAGUCCAGCAGAGUGCUAGUAGCCUCCAAGGACAUCCCUAUUUCGUUCCCCUUCAAGUGAUCCAGGAGCAGAAGCCAUACCCAGGCUGCACCACAUGGAGUUGGGAUGAAGAAGUUAUCCCACUUUCAAAUCAGGUGAUUCCAAUUUCCCAAUUUGGGAUUAGGACAGCUUGUUCGUCGUUCCAAUCAAACCAGAAAGAAUCACUUUGUUAGAAGCUUGAUUUGGAUACAUAAACUGGUGGAGAAUCACCAGGAAGUUGAAUAAAUCUCAUAGGAGUUGGCAUGAAGAAGUUAUCCCACUUUUAAAUCAGGUGAUUCCAGUUUCCCAGUUUGGGAAUAGCACAGCUUCUUCGUCGUUCCAAUCAAACCAGGAUGAAUCACUUUGUGAAAAGCUUGAUUUUGAUACAUAAAGUGGUGGAGAAUCACCAGGAAGUUGAAUAAAUCUCAUAGGAGUUGGCAUGAAGAAGUUAUCCCACUUUN